CUGGCCUUGAACUCACUCAGUAGCCUAGGCUAGCCUCAAACUUGUGAUUCUCCUGCCUCAGCCUCCCAAGUGCUAAAUUUACAGAUACAUGUCACGACACCACGCUCAAUCUUUUUUUAAAAAAAGUCUUUACUGGGCUCAAAUCUCUAUCCUGGAUGUGAUGCAGAUGUUGUUUUCAUUGUCAGCCAGGUUAAAAAUUUAACUCUAUGCAAUUUGGUAAUGAAAGAUUGUUGAUGCGUUUUUAAAAAGGACUAAGUAAGGAACUUAUUUUACACAGAGUUCAGGAAUUUUUUUUUUUUUUUUUGAUAAAUACAUAAACUAAAACCUCAAAGACAAAUACAAACCAACAAGCAAACAAAGGGCCAUGGGUAAGAAAGGUCAUGGUUCUGACAUAGAAUUGACAGCAUAAAGCAAACAAUGAGUCAGGUAAAACCUUGGUUUCUUGAAGGAAGUUGAAGCUCAGUGUGGCUAUAGCUAACUACCGAAGGGGGAAACCCAGGAACAAGACCUCUAAGAACCAUGGAAUUCAUUCUUCAACUUUGGGGAAUAUGAACUCAGUGACAUCUAGCAAGUUGAGAGCUCCAUUUUUCCCCUGUAUCAUUUUGGAGGACCCAGCAAGAUAAUGAGAAGGAGACUUUAGAACCACCUAGAACCGAUGAAAAAUCAAAUGCGCUUAAGUACUUCUUCACAGAGACGUUUUCUCUGCAGCGCGCUGGCAUCGCAGCGACAACUUGGGCAGCGGCCCCGACCCUCGGCCUCCAAACCCCGAGAGUCCACCCACCACCGGCGUCCCAGCGUCAAGUUCCCCACUAGUUCGGUUGCAGUCACCUCCACGUCGCAGCAACCCACACGCCGCCUCGGCGAUCUACAUCCAUCUUCAUUCACCACGCACACACAGUCGGGGUUAUCAGUCCCCGGACAACCAGGGGAUCCAGAAAGGGGCGAGCUGGCCAGAGGGAGGAGCGGACGCUCCUCCGUCCCGCCCGGCCCGGC